rnacentral:rRNA from 1 species
UACGGAAGGCAGCAGUGGGGAAUAUUGCACAAUGGGCGCAAGCCUGAUGCAGCCAUGCCGCGUGUAUGAAGAAGGCCUUCGGGUUGUAAAGUACUUUCAGUCGUGAGGAAGGUGUUAAGGUUAAUAACCUUAGCAAUUGACGUUAGCGACAGAAGAAGCACCGGCUAACUCCGUGCCAGCAGCCGCGGUAAUACGGAGGGUGCGAGCGUUAAUCGGAAUUACUGGGCUAAAGGGCACGCAGGCGGUUAAUUAAGUUGGAUGUGAAAUCCCCGGGCUUAACCUGGGAAUGGCAUUCAAGACUGGUUAGCUAGAGUCUUGUAGAGGGGGUAGAAUUCCGAUGUGUAGCGGUGAAAUGCGUAGAGAUGUGGAGGAAUACCGGUGGCGAAGGCGGCCCCUGGACAAAGGACUGACGCUCAUGUGCGAAAGCGUGGGGAGCGAAACAGGGAUUAGAU